UCGUCAAAGAACCAAACCACAUUAUAGAACAAUAAGCGUUCCUAGAACCUCCUUACUAUAAAAAGCAGACGCCAUGACAGAAGUAACCCCAUCAUAUCAUAAUUCAUAUUCAUAGUUUCAGAUACACAAUUAAAUUGACUCCAAAAAAAUAAGUACGAACAACCAUCUAAACCAUAGUUUGAUCCUAACCGUGUUGCUACUCAUAGCAUUUGCAACGAAGACUGAGCAAUCAAAAUAGAUUCCAACACUGUAUGUCUUCGGUGAUUCAUUUGUUGACUGUAGUAACAACCACAAUGUUGAUUUCUUUCCUUAUGGCAUAGAUUUCGGCACACCCACUGGUCGCUGCACUAAUGGCAAAACUGUUGCUGAUUUCCUUGCUAUAUACCUUGGUCUGCCUUUUGCCCCUGCGUACUUGGGACUUUCAGAGUCAUAACUACAGGCAUAAAUUACGCAUCGGCGGGUUCUGGAAUUUUGCCAGACACCAAUAAUGAAAUUUCAUUUAUAAUGGACGAACAAAUAAGGGGAUUCGAGAGGACAGUUAAGGAGAUUCUGCCAAAGGGGUUAGGUGAAGAAGCAGCGGAGAAGCAUGUAUCUGAAUCCUUGUUUUUCUUAUCUUCGGGUGUGAAUGAUCACUUCAAAAACAAUACAUUUCGUGGUAGUAGGAAAUUUGCUUCCUACCUCAUAAAUGAAUUCAAAAUACGCUUGCAGGGAUCGUAGAAGCAAUCAAACCAUGCAUGUUGCCCUCGAAGCAUCAAUGGUGAUCUGUUAUGCCAUCCGAAUUGUGAUUUUUGUGCAAACAGAAACACAUAUCUUUUCUUUGAUGACCGCCCAACCGAGAGAGCCAACCAAAUAUAUGCAAUAAAGUGCUUCGUCAUUGACCAUGCUAUCUGCACUCCUCGCAUAAACAUCAGACACUUUCUAUAACUCUUAUUUUCUUAAAUAAAUCAGGUACCUCUAAGCUAGCGUCUAAGCUCUGAAUCAAUCUUACGAUGCUAGUGUUUUGAAUCUGGGUUAUUAAAUUCGAUGGACGUUUAAUAUCUAGAAAGAGUGACUUUGUUUAUUGUACUUGAUGCAACUUAUUAAUAAUAAUAAU